rnacentral:lncRNA from 1 species
GUUUUUGCUGCUGCUUCUAAUAAGAACUAGUCAACUUGCCCAGUCAAUAAUGAAGAAAUUCAUAUUCUCCUAUUUGAUGGGAAGUUUGAACAAUGACAACUCCAUGUCUCGCUUCACAGUUACACAAGGAUAAAUGAUUAAACAUAAGCCCUAAAUUAAAACAGGCCAAACCAAAUAUUUAAGAAAUCUCUUCCAUCGAUCUUUUAUUAUUUAAAGAAAAGAUGGAGUGAAAACAUGUUUUUGGAUGAACAAUUCACAUACGCUCAACCUGCUGCUCCUUGCGGCCAUACCUUGAGAUGGAAGACACAUUUUUGAGGGUGAUGUUACAGGUCACAUGUGGGGCAUAUUGAUCUUGAUGAGAAAGCUCACUCAGAGAAGUAGUCAAGAAAGCAAUAUAUUGAAAAUAAAGCCAUGUAUGUAGCAACGAAGGUAUUCAAGGUGCCCACUUUGAUGACUUGUACUCGUGCCUUUGAUCCCCACUGUAGAAAAUGCUCUGCUCCAUUUCAAAAGAGAUUGCCUUGUGCCCCAUUUGUUGGCCUUUGGAUCAAACCAGCAACAGACCUCACAGAUAGAAUUCCACCAUUAGCCAUUCACAAAGAGGUAAAUUCUAAGUCCUUUGCCUCACUUCCAAAUAUUUCUCUCCAGAGAAAAGCUUUUUUUUUUUUUUUAAAUCUAUUUGUUAAUAUUGCCAUCUGUUUUGGUUACUACUAA